rnacentral:rRNA from 1 species
AACGAACGCUGGCGGCAUGCCUAACACAUGCAAGUCGAACGAGACCUUCGGGUCUAGUGGCGCACGGGUGCGUAACGCGUGGGAACCUGCCCUUAGGUUCGGAAUAACUCCCCGAAAGGGGUGCUAAUACCGGAUAAUUUCUUCGGACCAAAGAUUUAUCGCCUUUGGAUGGGCCCGCGUUGGAUUAGCUAGUUGGUAGGGUAAAAGCCUACCAAGGCGACGAUCCAUAGCUGGUCUGAGAGGAUGAUCAGCCACACUGGGACUGAGACACGGCCCAGACGCCUAGGGGAGGCAGCAGUGAGGACUAUUGGACAAUGGGCGAAAGCCUGAUCCAGCAAUGCCGCGUGAGUGAUGAAGGCCUUAGGGUUGUAAAGCUCUUUUACCCGGGAUGAUAAUGACAGUACCGGGAGAAUAAGCUCCGGCUAACUACGUG